AGCACCCUCAGUGCUUUGUUCUCCUCCCUGGGCGCCCCCCCGCCCAGACUAUCCCCACCGCCGGGCCGCCAGCCUGGCUGCUGUCUCUCCGGGAGCCGCUGCCAAGCCGUCAGCUCCUUUCAUCGCCCCAAGGCAGCCAGAGGGAGCGCCAGCAGCAGCCUUGGCACACGCCCGCCUCCGGCCACUCCCGGCGUGUUCUCAGACACAGACGCCAGCCCAGCGGGGCGGGCACCCAGCUCCGAGCCCACGGCUGCAACAAGGAAGGGUCACUGGGGGACCCAGCCCCCUCAUUACACGUCAGGAAACCUGGGCUGGGGAUCAGCCAGGCCUCCUUUGAAACUGUCUAGCCAAAUCAGCCCGUCAGAGUGGCGAUCAGAUGUCCAUGGGAGGCGGUUCCCUCUGCUGGAAUGUUCUCCAUCCCGCCCCCACCGGCCAGCCCCUCAGGGCUCAGUGAGGGCAGGCCCUUCCUCAGAGGCCCUGACCUUCACCCAGGGCCAAGCUCCCUCUUAGCACUCAUAGCACCCAGCCCAGGCGCCUGGCUGUCAGCCCAGAUGGGCACCUAAGCUAAGGAAGCUUUGGGGAGGGACGGGGGACCUUGCAGGGCUCCCCGGUCGGUCCACUUGGUGGUCCUGCUCCUCCCGACAUGUGGGCACAGGCUGGCCUUCCAGGACUUCCGUGUUUGGCUCCUGGAGGCAGGACCUCUGUCCCCAUCCUGACUCCAGGCACCCAGAGGCAGCCAAGAGCUGGGCAGGGGGCUACCCAACUCCACAGAGAUGCCCGUGGCCUCAGGAAACUCUGUCCCACACCCUUGGCUUUGAGGUGAGGAUAAGAGAGCCCAGCCCUGGCUCCAGGAUCACCUCCAUCGAGUCCGUCCUGGUUCUCUGAGCCUUCACUUCCUCCUCUGCCAAACGGAUUCUGAUUCUUCCUGGUCAGGCUGCUGACAGGAUCGAUGUGCCUAUCUCCCAGGGCUGCUGGCAGGAUUAGAUAGGUUGCCCUUCGAACAGUCACCUGGAAGCAGGGGGAGGAGCCUGUUCAUGUUGGGCGUUGACCAACAAGAACCAGCAAGAGAGAUGAAGAUGGAUCUGCCCUCGCACAGCUACAGCAGACUCGCACACUCGGAGGCAACAUGUGACGUGGAGAGACACACUUUAUGUCCAUGUUGUUGGGGGAGCAGCCUGUGCCGUCCCUCGGUGAGCUGGCAUCCUCCUGGCCCUGCUGAGCAGCGAGAGCCACAGCACCUACAGGAGCCCCAGGGUCCUGAGGGAACCGCCUUGAGCCUCAGUCUCCUCAUCUGUAAACCGAGGCUGAUGACUCCAGGCCCAUGUCACAGGACCGCAGAGAGAAAUGCCCGACAUUGGGACUGUGGGGUCACAGGAACGUGGUCACAACAUCUGAGCACCUUCCCCAGACAGACCCCAGGCUGGGCACCGAGGAAGGGUUGCUUGCACCUGAGCUGGGCCUGAGCUGGGCCUUGAAGGAGAAGCAAAGUCCACCACUCCCUGCAGGGAGCUGUGGGCAGACACACCCCAAAAAACAAAUACACUGCGAUGGGCGCCCGGACAAGCCACCGAGAGCAGCAGGACAGCCAGUGGCCUGAGGGCAGGGGAGGGCGCCACCUGCUGGUCACAGAUGAGAAGUGCACCUGGUGCCCACUUGGUCCUUCUGGAGGAGCCUGUGCUCCGGACUCUGAAGCCCUGGGCGGUGACUCCCGGGCUCCCACCCGAGGCACAACAUCCUCCUCCCCACAAGUUUCUCCAAAUAGCUGCUUCACAUGCUUUUCAUAGACGUGAUGUUUUUACAUGUCAGAAGUGUGUCAGAUACUCUAUAAAUCUUCAUAAACUCCCCAAACGUGUACCCAGGGCUGGCCCCUGUGCUAGGCACUGGUGACACGGUGACCAGCCAGAUAGCCAUGGUCCCUGCGGGCUCUGAGGGCAGGAGGCCAAUACUAAACACUGUCACAAAGGGCCCAUUUAGUGACAAGCGUAAUCACGGCUAACGGGGAAGCGGAGAGGGGAACGUUGCGUCACUUGCCCCCUCGCCAGCUCUGCAAGGACGGAUGUGACUGCUGCUUUACAGACGAGGCUCAGAGAGGUGGAGUGGUCCACACGGCAGGAGGAGAUGCAGCUCAGACAGGGACCCAGGGCUGCCAGGCCACCGGAGGAGGGAGGGUGCAGGCUCCCCCGCAGGCCCACUGCCAGGCUGCAGAAAUGGUCCCCAACUCCCUUCCUAACGAGGCCCAGAGAGCAGCUGUGUCUCCAAAGCCUGGUUUCAAUGGGUUUCUGCCAUCGCUAGGACUAAGACCUGGCCCCCUGCAAGAGCUGCGCUCUUCUCCCGUCUAAAGGGACAAGUAGACAGAACCCCGAGUCCUCACAUGCCGUCAGCCAGACCUUCUCCCCUCCCCCCACCUCCUUUCGUCUAAUGAUCCCACCAUCCUUCAGGAGAGAAGAGGGCCCUGCAGUAAGAUGUGGACGUCCCUGGGCCACCUGGGAAUUGCCAUCUCUUUCCCGGCCUCAGUUUCCCCCCCGUCUACUGAGAGGUCAGAUUGACUCCUCUGAAGACCUCGGUUGAUCUGAAGUGUUAAAAUCCUCUUCGCCAGCCUUCCACCUCCCUUCGUCAGCAAGCACAGAGACGUACAGACCUCUCAGUGAUGCUGGGCAUCCUCAGUUUCCACAGGGUGACUCGUCUUUGGGAGACCAAAGCCAAAAUGGUUUGGAGACGGUACAGGCAAACCAGACUCCCUGCCACAUGACGGCUCAGAGAUGCGGCAGCCAGGACAGCCUUGCCUCCCUCUGGGUCAGUGACGCCAGCCGCCGGAGGGCUUGAUGGGCAAGGCUCCCGGGCAGGUCCCCUCCCUCUCUGAAUUUUGGCCCCUCACACCAUCUGCAGACGCUCCUUG
rnacentral:lncRNA from 1 species